GACGAACGCUGGCGGCGUGCCUAAUACAUGCAAGUCGAGCGAGCGGAACUAACAGAUUUACUUCGGUAAUGACGUUAGGACAGCGAGCGGCGGAUGGGUGAGUAACACGUGGGGAACCUGCCCCAUAGUCUGGGAUACCACUUGGAAACAGGUGCUAAUACCGGAUAAGAAAGCAGAUCGCAUGAUCAGCUUUUAAAAGGCGGCGUAAGCUGUCGCUAUGGGAUAGCCCCGCGGUGCAUUAGCUAGUUGGUAAGGUAAAGGCUUACCAAGGCGAUGAUGCAUAGCCGAGUUGAGAGACUGAUCGGCCACAUUGGGACUGAGACACGGCCCAAACUCCUACGGGAGGCAGCAGUAGGGAAUCUUCCACAAUGGACGCAAGUCUGAUGGAGCAACGCCGCGUGAGUGAAGAAGGUUUUCGGAUCGUAAAGCUCUGUUGUUGGUGAAGAAGGAUAGAGGUAGUAACUGGCCUUUAUUUGACGGUAAUCAACCAGAAAGUCACGGCUAACUACGUG
rnacentral:rRNA from 1 species